UACGUAGGGGGCAAGCGUUGUCCGGAUUUAUUGGGCGUAAAGAGCGUGUAGGCGGCUUUACAGGUCCGUUGUGAAAACUCGAGGCUCAACCUCGAGACGCCGGUGGAAACCGUAAAGCUAGAGUCCGGAAGAGGAGAGUGGAAUUCCUGGUGUAGCGGUGAAAUGCGCAGAUAUCAGGAGGAACACCGAUGGCGAAGGCAGGUCUCUGGGCCAUAACUGACGCUGAGGAGCGAAAGUGUGGGGAGCGAACAGG
rnacentral:rRNA from 1 species